rnacentral:rRNA from 1 species
AACGAACGCUGGCGGCAGGCCUAACACAUGCAAGUCGAACGAACCCUUCGGGGUUAGUGGCGGACGGGUGAGUAACACGUGGGAACGUGCCUUUAGGUUCGGAAUAACUCAGGGAAACUUGUGCUAAUACCGAAUGUGCCCUUCGGGGGAAAGAUUUAUCGCCUUUAGAGCGGCCCGCGUCUGACUAGCUAGUUGGUGAGGUAAUGGCUCACCAAGGCUACGAUCAGUAGCUGGUCUGAGAGGAUGACCAGCCACAUUGGGACUGAGACACGGCCCAAACUCCUACGGGAGGCAGCAGUGGGGAAUCUUGCGCAAUGGGCGAAAGCCUGACGCAGCCAUGCCGCGUGGAUGAUGAAGGUCUUAGGAUUGUAAGAUCCUUUCACCGGUGAAGAUAAUGACUGUAGCCGGAGAAGAAGCCCCGGCUAACUUCGUGCCAGCCGCCGCCGUAAUAC